GGCUCCACAUGUGUAUCGAGGGGUAACAGGAGAUCGCUUGCUGUAUCUUGCUGACGACCGGCGAACGGGUGAGUAACGCGUAGGAAUCUGCCUCAAAGCAGGGGAUAGCCCGGGGAAACUCGGAUUAAUACCGUAUAUAUUCUAAGGAAUAAAGAUGCCUUUUGGUGUCGCUUUGAGAUGAGCCUGCGUCCGAUUAGCUUGUUGGUAAGGUAAAAGCUUACCAAGGCGACGAUCGGUAGCUGGUCUGAGAGGACGUACAGCCACACUGGGACUGAGACACGGCCCAGACUCCUACGGGAGGCAGCAGUGGGGAAUAUUGCGCAAUGGGGGCAACCCUGACGCAGCCAUACCGCGUGGAUGAAGAAGGCCUUAGGGUCGUAAAGUCCUUUCAGCAAGGAAAAAAAUCUUGGCAUUAAUAGUGUCGGGACUUGAUGUUACUUGCAGAAGAAGCACCGGCUAACUCCGUGCCAGCAGCCGCGGUAAAUACGGAGGGUGCAAGCGUUAAUCGGAAUCACUGGGCGUAAAGAGUAUGUAGGUGGUAGUGAAAGUUGGAUGUGACAACCCUGGGCUUAACCGAGGAAUUGAUCCAAAAGUUCACAACUAGAGUUUGGUAGAGGGU
rnacentral:rRNA from 1 species